GAUGAACGCUGGCGGCGUGCUUAACACAUGCAAGUCGAACGAUGAAGCCCAGCUUGCUGGUUGGUUUGUUGGCAAACGGUUGGUUAACCCUUAAUUACCCUGCCCUUAAUCUUGGGUUAAGCCUGGGAAAUUGGUCUUAUUACCGGUUAGAGCCUUCCCCGCCAUGUGGGGUGUUGGAAGGAUUUAUCGGUUUUGGAUGGACUCGCGGCCUAUCAGCUUGUUGGUGGGGUAAUGGCUCACCAAGGCGACGACGGGUAGCCGGCCUGAGAGGGUGACCGGCCACACUGGGACUGAGACACGGCCCAGACUCCUACGGGAGGCAGCAGUGGGGAAUAUUGCACAAUGGGCGCAAGCCUGAUGCAGCGACGCCGCGUGAGGGAUGACGGCCUUCGGGUUGUAAACCUCUUUCAGUAGGGAAGAAGCGAAAGUGACGGUACCUGCAGAAGAAGCACCGGCUAACUACGUG
rnacentral:rRNA from 1 species